GCCUGAGUGGCUUAGUAGUUGAGUGUCUGACUUUGGCUCAGGUCAUGAUUCUGGAGUCCUGGGAUCAAGUCCCACAUCAGGCU
rfam:Canis lupus familiaris chromosome X, whole genome shotgun sequence.